rnacentral:rRNA from 1 species
ACGCUCGACACCUACGGGAGGUAGCAGUGGGGAAUAUUGGGCAAUGGGCGAAAGCCUGACCCAGCAACGCCGCGUGAGGGAAGAAGGCUUUCGGAUUGUAAACCUCUGUCCUCAGGGACGAAGGACGUGACGGUACCUGAGGAGGAAGCCCCGGCUAACUACGUACCAGCAGCCGCGGUAAUCUGAGCGGGCUGGCAAGGC